CACGUAGGGCGCAAGCGUUGUCCGGAAUUAUUGGGCGUAAAGGGUGCGUAGGCGGGUCUUUAAGUCAGGGGUGAAAUCCUGGAGCUCAACUCCAGAACUGCCUUUGAUACUGAAGAUCUUGAGUGCGGGAGAGGUGAGUGGAACUGCGAGUGUAGAGGUGAAAUUCGUAGAUAUUCGCAAGAACACCAGUGGCGAAGGCGGCUCACUGGCCCGAUACUGACGCUGAGGCACGAAAGCGUGGGGAGCAAACAGG
rnacentral:rRNA from 1 species